rnacentral:rRNA from 2 species
AGAGUUUGAUCAUGGCUCAGGAUGAACGCCGGCGGUGUGCCUAAUACAUGCAAGUCGAACGCGUUGGCCCAAUUGAUUGAUGGUGCUUGCACCUGAUUGAUUUUGGUCGCCAACGAGUGGCGGACGGGUGAGUAACACGUAGGUAACCUGCCCAGAAGCGGGGGACAACAUUUGGAAACAGAUGCUAAUACCGCAUAACAGCGUUGUUCGCAUGAACAACGCUUAAAAGAUGGCUUCUCGCUAUCACUUCUGGAUGGACCUGCGGUGCAUUAGCUUGUUGGUGGGGUAAUGGCCUACCAAGGCGAUGAUGCAUAGCCGAGUUGAGAGACUGAUCGGCCACAAUGGGACUGAGACACGGCCCAUACUCCUACGGGAGGCAGCAGUAGGGAAUCUUCCACAAUGGGCGCAAGCCUGAUGGAGCAACACCGCGUGAGUGAAGAAGGGUUUCGGCUCGUAAAGCUCUGUUGUUAAAGAAGAACACGUAUGAGAGUAACUGUUCAUACGUUGACGGUAUUUAACCAGAAAGUCACGGCUAACUACGUGCCAGCAGCCGCGGUAAUACGUAGGUGGCAAGCGUUAUCCGGAUUUAUUGGGCGUAAAGAGAGUGCAGGCGGUUUUCUAAGUCUGAUGUGAAAGCCUUCGGCUUAACCGGAGAAGUGCAUCGGAAACUGGAUAACUUGAGUGCAGAAGAGGGUAGUGGAACUCCAUGUGUAGCGGUGGAAUGCGUAGAUAUAUGGAAGAACACCAGUGGCGAAGGCGGCUACCUGGUCUGCAACUGACGCUGAGACUCGAAAGCAUGGGUAGCGAACAGGAUUAGAUACCCUGGUAGUCCAUGCCGUAAACGAUGAGUGCUAGGUGUUGGAGGGUUUCCGCCCUUCAGUGCCGGAGCUAACGCAUUAAGCACUCCGCCUGGGGAGUACGACCGCAAGGUUGAAACUCAAAGGAAUUGACGGGGGCCCGCACAAG